rnacentral:sRNA from 1 species
GUUUACCCUGGAUUGCCAGUUGCUUUCCCGAAAAAAUCUGCAGUUUCACGUUUGUGUGUUAAUUGAACAACGGGAAAUUGAGCAACAUUAGCGACAAGCAUUAUCCAUUUUAUACUCAUUGAAAAUCUACAAAGGGUCGUGACAACUCAAACGAAGAGUGGCACGGCUGUGGAACUACUGACUGCACUAGCGCUGGCUGUAAGAAAAACGCCGAUGGUAGCAACGUUUGCUGUUGCCAAGGAUAUCUCUGUAAUUCCGGAAUGAGUUUCUCAAAAACUGAAUUUUCUUCACUUCUUCUUACAGUUCUUUCGGUGAUUUACAUGUACGUUUAAUGAGAAGAGCAUGUAUUGAUUUUUGCCAGAAAAUGAAAAUAUUUGUCAGCAUUUUGAAACA